AUGGGGUGACUGCGUACCUUUUGUAUAAUGGGUCAGCGACUUAUAUUCUGUAGCAAGGUUAACCGAAUAGGGGAGCCGAAGGGAAACCGAGUCUUAACUGGGCGUUAAGUUGCAGGGUAUAGACCCGAAACCCGGUGAUCUAGCCAUGGGCAGGUUGAAGGUUGGGUAACACUAACUGGAGGACCGAACCGACUAAUGUUGAAAAAUUAGCGGAUGACUUGUGGCUGGGGGUGAAAGGCCAAUCAAACCGGGAGAUAGCUGGUUCUCCCCGAAAGCUAUUUAGGUAGCGCCUCGUGAAUUCAUCUCCGGGGGUAGAGCACUGUUUCGGCAAGGGGGUCAUCCCGACUUACCAACCCGAUGCAAACUGCGAAUACCGGAGAAUGUUAUCACGGGAGACACACGGCGGGUGCUAACGUCCGUCGUGAAGAGGGAAACAACCCAGACCGCCAGCUAAGGUCCCAAAGUCAUGGUUAAGUGGGAAACGAUGUGGGAAGGCCCAGACAGCCAGGAUGUUGGCUUAGAAGCAGCCAUCAUUUAAAGAAAGCGUAAUAGCUCACUGGUCGAGUCGGCCUGCGCGGAAGAUGUAACGGGGCUAAACCAUGCACCGAAGCUGCGGCAGCGACACUAUGUGUUGUUGGGUAGGGGAGCGUUCUGUAAGCCGUUGAAGGUGGCCUGUGAGGGUUGCUGGAGGUAUCAGAAGUGCGAAUGCUGACAUAAGUAACGAUAAAGCGGGUGAAAAGCCCGCUCGCCGGAAGACCAAGGGUUCCUGUCCAACGUUAAUCGGGGCAGGGUGAGUCGACCCCUAAGGCGAGGCCGAAAGGCGUAGUCGAUGGGAAACAGGUUAAUAUUCCUGUACUUGGUGUUACUGCGAAGGGGGGACGGAGAAGGCUAUGUUGGCCGGGCGACGGUUGUCCCGGUUUAAGCGUGUAGGCUGAUUUUCCAGGCAAAUCCGGAGAAUCAAGGCUGAGGCGUGAUGACGAGGCACUACGGUGCUGAAGCAACAAAUGCCCUGCUUCCAGGAAAAGCCUCUAAGCAUCAGGUAACAUCAAAUCGUACCCCAAACCGACACAGGUGGUCAGGUAGAGAAUACCAAGGCGCUUGAGAGAACUCGGGUGAAGGAACUAGGCAAAAUGGUGCCGUAACUUCGGGAGAAGGCACGCUGAUGGUAGGUGAAGCGAC
rnacentral:rRNA from 1 species